GAUGAACGCUGGCGGCGUGCCUAAUACAUGCCAGUCGAGCGAACAGACGAGGAGCUUGCUCCUCUGACGUUAGCGGCGGACGGGUGAGUAACACGUGGAUAACCUACCUAUAAGACUUGGAUAACUUCGGGAAACCGGAGCUAAUACCGGAUAAUAUAUUGAACCGCAUGGUUCAAUAGUGAAAGACGGUUUUGCUGUCACUUAUAGAUGGAUCCGCGCCGCAUUAGCUAGUUGGUAAGGUAACGGCUUACCAAGGCAACGAUGCGUAGCCGACCUGAGAGGGUGAUCGGCCACACUGGAACUGAGACACGGUCCAGACUCCUACGGGAGGCAGCAGUAGGGAAUCUUCCGCAAUGGGCGAAAGCGUGACGGAGCAACGCCGCGUGAGUGAUGAAGGUCUUCGGAUCGUAAAACUCUGUUAUUAGGGAAGAACAAAUGUGUAAGUAACUAUGCACGUCUUGACGGUACCUAAUCAGAAAGCCACGGCUAACUACGUG
rnacentral:rRNA from 1 species